rnacentral:rRNA from 1 species
UCGAAGUGUAUAUCAUUGUUGUUGCGGUUAAAAAGCUCGUAGUUGGAUCUGCGCCUUCGGAGUUGGUCCUCCCAACGGGAGCGUACUGACAUCCAGGGCUAAUUUUGCUGGUUUUCGCAUAGUACCCUUCACUGGGCGCUUUGUGUGACUAGCACGUUUACUUUGAAAAAAUUAGAGUGCUCAAAACAGGCUUUUGCUUGAAUACUGGCGCAUGGAAUAAUGGAAUAGGACCUUGGUUCUAUUUUGUUGGUUUUCGGAACACGAGGUAAUGAUUAAGAGGGACAGACGGGGGCAUUCGUAUUGCAGCGCUAGAGGUGAAAUUCUUGGACCGCUGCAAGACGAACAACUGCGAAGGCAUUUGCCAAGAAUGUUUUCAUUAAUCAAGAACGAAAGUUAGAGGUU